rnacentral:lncRNA from 1 species
GGAGGCAUCACAAUACCAGACCUUAAAUUACACUAUAGAACUAGUAACAAAAAUAGCAUGGUAUUGGCACCAAAACAGACAUGAAGACCAAUGGAACAGAACAGAAGACACAGAGACAAACCCACAUAAAUACAGUUAUCUCAUACUAGACAAAAGUGCCGUAAACAUACAUUGGAGAAAAGAUAGCCUCUUCAACACAUGGUGCUAGGAAAACUGGAAAUCCAUAUGUAGUAGAAUGAAUUGAAUCUCUAUCUCUCACCCUGCACAAAAUUCAACUAAAAGUGGAUCAAGGACCUAGGCAUUAGAUCAGAGUCUCUGCACCCACUAGAAGAAAAAGUAGGCCCAAAUCUCCACCAUGUUGACUUAGGACUAACUUCCUCAGUAAGACUCCUAAAGCACAAGAGGUAAAAUCAAGAAUCAAUAAAUGGGACGAUACCAAACUAAAAAGCUUCUUCCCAGCAAAGGAAACAAUCGAGAACAUGAACAGAGAGCCUACAAAAUGGGAGAAAAUCUCUACCACCAGCACCUGAGAUAGAGCAUUAAUCUCUAGGGUAUACAAAAAACUUAACACCAAAAAAAUAAUAAUAACCCAAUCAAUAAAUGCACUAAGGAACUGAGUAGGGACUUCACAGGAGAAAAAAUAUGAAUGGUCAAAAAUAUAUGAAAAAAUGUUCAAUAUCUUUAGCAAUCAGAGAAAUGCAAAUGAAAACUACACUGUAAUGCAUUUUUCUUACUAUGGUGUGUAUACCAGGUAUGUAUACCAGGAGAAAGGUGCAGUCAAGCCUUUAUUAUUUCACAUUAUAAAAUAACAGCUAAUCUAGGAAGUUGAGCACAAGUCUACAGCAGUGAGACAUCCCCCAAAGGGAGUUCAUAGUUGAUCUGUCAUGCAUGGGC